rnacentral:rRNA from 1 species
UACGUAGGGGCCUAGCGUUGUCCGGAUUUAUUGGGCGUAAAGCGCGCGCAGGCGGUUUCUUAAGUCUGAUGUGAAAGCCCACGGCUCAACCGUGGAGGGUCAUUGGAAACUGGGGAACUUGAGUGCAGAAGAGAAAAGCGGAAUUCCACGUGUAGCGGUGAAAUGCGUAGAGAUGUGGAGGAACACCAGUGGCGAAGGCGGCUUUUUGGUCUGUAACUGACGCUGAGGCGCGAAAGCGUGGGGAGCAAACAGG